AAUAUAGUUUAAUAUUACAUAAUAUUAUGUACUUUUUAUAUUUUGAUAUUUGGGUUUAGGUUUUAUAUUUAGGUUAGGGUUUAGUGAUUAUAGUUUACAGUUUAGUAUUCUAGAAGACGAAGGGGUAUGGUUGGGGUUAGCAUUAACUUCUUCCAUGCAAUCAUAGAUAUUUCAUAACUUCACCAGUAAAUACUAUGUCAUUUAUUGUUUUCCAUUCUAUUUGGGUUUAAGAUUUAUAUUUAGGUUAAGGUUUAUAUCUGGGUUUAGUGAUUAAAGUUGGUUUAUAUUUGGGUUUAGAGUUUAGUAAUUAGGUUUUAGGACUUAGUAUUUAGUAGGUGAGGGUAUAGUUGAGAUCAACAUUAACUUAUUCCAUGCAAUCAUAUAUGUUUCAUAAUUUCACCAAUAUGUACUAUACUAUAUAUUUUGUUCCAUUCUAUUUGGGUUUAUGGUUUAUACUUGGGUUUAUGAUUUAUAUUUGGGUUUAUAGUUUAGUAACUAGGGUUUAGAGUUUAGUAAUUAGGGUUUAGUAAUUAGGGUUUAGAGUUUCUUAUUUAUGAGUUGGGGUUGGGAUAGUGUUUAGUAUUUAACGAUUGUGGAUGUUGUUGCAUCCUCCUAUACUAUUUUGGCGAUAUGGAAUGGAACACUACAUACAUAUGUAUGUGGUCAAUAAACGUGUAACGUGGAUGUCUCUUUUCUUUCAUAUGGCAUAGUUUUAAGUCACUCCUCACCAUAUAUUAUUUGUGAUACGUCAUGUUUACCGAGUAACUGUAAGUAGAAAUGGUA
rnacentral:lncRNA from 1 species